CGAGAUUGCCGGCGCUCUUCUACCCCGCAAGGAGGGGCUGAAAUGCGCAGUCGCGUUGUUGCGGCGCUCAGACCCUCGCUUCUUCACGGAGGAGAGCAAACCACCAAAAGAUGAUGGCGUGAAGGACCAUAAUUAGCAAUCUCUCUCCAGAGAUGACAUUUGAUCUGAGGCCUGAAUGACCACAGGGGCCAGGAGCCAAGAGAAGAUCUGGGGCGGAGCCUUCCAGGCAGAGGAAACAGCUAAAGCAGAGGCCUGAGGUGGGAAUGAGACCUGCAGGACUUCCUGUACUAGGUUGAAUAGAAGUGGUGAAAGUAGACUUCUUGAAACAUAUAACCUUCUAAAACUGAAUCAGGAAGAAAUGAAAAAUUUGAACAGAUGAACUA